GUCAUUUUCAGUCGACAGCAAGUGGCGAAACGGCCACCUUGCUGAGGUGGAUAAAAACGGGGGGUGUUGCUGCUUAGGUCAUAUUCCACAAAGGAAAUACUAAGCAGAAUGCCGUG